UACGAAGGGGGCGAGCGUUGUUCGGAUUUACUGGGCGUAAAGCGCGCGUAGGCGGCUUUGCAAGUCGGGUGUGAAAUCCCCAGGCUUAACCUGGGAACUGCAUUCGAGACUGCAUUGCUAGAGUAUGGGAGAGGGAAGUGGAAUUUCAGGUGUAGCGGUGAAAUGCGUAGAUAUCUGAAGGAACAUCAGUGGCGAAAAGCGACUUCCUGGACCAAUACUGACGCUCAUGUGCGAAAAGCGUGGGGGAGCAAACAGG
rnacentral:rRNA from 1 species